rnacentral:SRP_RNA from 1 species
GCUGGGCGUUGUGGCGAGCGCCUGUAGUCCCAGCUACUUGGGGAGGCUGAGGCAGAAGAAUCGCCUAAGCCCAGGAGUUGGAGGUUGCUGUGAGCUAUGACUUCACAGCACUCUACCAAGGGCAAUAAAGUGAGACUCUGUCUCUA